UACGAAGGGGGCUAGCGUUGUGCGGAAUUACUGGGCGUAAAGGGCGCGUAGGCGGCCUUGUUAGUUGGGCGUGAAAGGCCUGGGCUUAACCCGGGAACUGCGUUCAAUACUGCGAGGCUAGAGUGUGGGAGAGGUUGGUGGAAUUCCCAGUGUAGAGGUGAAAUUCGUAGAUAUUGGGAAGAACACCGGUGGCGAAGGCGGCCAACUGGACCACAACUGACGCUGAGGCGCGAAAGCGUGGGGAGCAAACAGG
rnacentral:rRNA from 1 species